AUACGGAGGGUGCGAGCGUUAAUCGGAAUUACUGGGCGUAAAGCGUACGUAGGCGGUUUGCUAAGUCAGAUGUGAAAGCCCCGGGCUUAACCUGGGAACUGCAUUUGAUACUGGCAGACUAGAGUAUGAUAGAGGGGGGUAGAAUUCCUGGUGUAGCGGUGAAAUGCGUAGAUAUCAUGAGGAAUACCAGUGGCGAAGGCGGCCCCCUGGAUCAAUACUGACGCUGAGGUACGAAAGCGUGGGGAGCGAACAGGAUUAGAUACCCUAGUAGUCC
rnacentral:rRNA from 1 species